rnacentral:rRNA from 1 species
UACGUAGGGCGCGAGCGUUGUCCGGAAUUAUUGGGCGUAAAGAGCUCGUAGGCGGCCUGUUGCGUCCGCUGUGAAAUCCCGGGGCUUAACCCCGGGCGUGCAGUGGAUACGGGCUGGCUGGAGGCAGGCAGGGGAGAACGGAAUUCCCGGUGUAGCGGUGAAAUGCGCAGAUAUCAGGAGGAACACCCGUGGCGAAAGCGGCUCUCUGGGACGGUACUGACGCUGAGACGCGAAAGCGUGGGGAGCAAACAGG